UGAUGACUGUGGCCCUACUUGGGAG
rnacentral:piRNA from 1 species